ACCGUCUCACACUUUCUACUCGACAUGCUUAGUCACUCAGUACUGUAUACGGUCAGUCCAAUCCAGGGAAGAUCUAUCAUGAAUAUAUACAUAGCAACUGUUAGUCAACCAUUCAGUACUUGCCAAUCCAACCCGGGGAAGAUCCAUCCCAAAAUAUAAAUGCUUCGGGCAAGAUCCAUGUCCAGGGAAGAUCCAGCCCUCAAUAUAAAUCAACUGUGCUCACUAGGGGUGUGUACGGACUCCGAAGGGGAUCCUUAAGCCCAAGCGCUAUGAUCCGCACGGACAACUCACGUGUUCCAUGGGCGACGUACAUGCUAUAGUAUCAAUAUCUGGAUCCGUACAGAUAACUCACAUGUUGCACGAAUAACUCACGUGCUGUAGUAUUAAUAUCCUCAUAAUCAGGCCCUUAGUCUCACUCAGUCAUCAAUCUCUCUAGUCUCUCGGGCUCAUAAUGCUAUGAAACUAGCCUAAAAUAAUGAUAUAAUGUAUAAAUAAAUAACAACAAAGACUGAGAU
rnacentral:lncRNA from 1 species